AAUCAACGCUGGCGGCGUGCCUCAGACAUGCAAGUCGAACGCGAAAGUUUCCUUCGGGAAGCGAGUAGAGUGGCGCACGGGUGAGUAACACGUAAGUAAUCUACCCUUGGGUGGGAAGUAACAUCGGGAACCGAUGCUAAUACCGCAUAAUGCAGCGGCUUCUUAUGAAGACAGUUGUUAAAGCAUUUAUGUGCCUGAGGAGGAGCUUGCGGCAGAUUAGCUAGNGGUUAAGGUAAUGGCUUACCAAGGCGACGAUCUGUAGCCGACCUGAGAGGGUGGUCGGUCACACUGACACUGAAUAACGGGUCAGACUCCUACGGGAGGCAGCAGUCGGGGAAUUUUGGGCAAUGGGCGAAAGCCUGACCCAGCAACGCCGCGUGAAGGA
rnacentral:rRNA from 1 species